rnacentral:lncRNA from 1 species
GAGGACUGUGAAGCAAUCGGGGCGAGGCCGGGUGUCUGUUCAACUCUCCCGCGUAUCGUCUGUUUCUUCGGCGGCGGACAGUGUUCUGUAAUGUGUCUCCCGUUGCCCGAGCUAAAGGAAGGCAGUCUCCACACCACUGUGCUCGAACAGCUCUAUGAAGAGGCCUAUGUGGAGAGGAGAAAAAGCCUCCACCAACAGCCAGCACCAACUUGCCAGCCAUAUAUGAACUCUCGCUAUGUUGCCUCGGCUGGUCUCAAACUCCUGGGCUCAAGUGAUCCUCCCACUUCGGCCUCCCAAAAUGGCGUCUUGCUCUGUCACCCAGGCUGGGGUGCAGUGGUGUGAUCUCAGCUCACUGCAACCUCUGCCUCCUGGGUUCAAGCAAUUCUUCUGCCUCAGCCUCCCAAAGAGCUGUGAUUACAGACGUGUGCCACAAUACCCGGCUAAGUUUUGUAUUUUUAUUAUUAUUUUAUUUAUGUGUUUAUUUAUUUAUUUAUUUAUUUAUUUUGAGAUGGAGUCUUGCUGUGUCGCCCAGGGUGGAGUGCAGUGGUGCGAUCUCUGCUCGCUGCAGCCUCUGCCCCCCAGGCGAUUCUCCUGCCUCAGCCUCCCGAGUAGCUGGGAUUACAGGUGCCCGCCACCAUACCCGGCUAAUUUUUGUAUUUUUAGUAAAGACAGGGUUUUGCCAUGUUGGCCAGGCUGAUCUCGAACUCCUGACCUCAAGUGAUCUGUCUGCCUUGGCCUCCCAAGGCAGGGAGCCUGCUGGGAUUACAGGCAUGAGCCACCACGCCCAGUCAAAAUGUUUUAAAUGUUUCUAUACCACCAUCUGUGUCAAAGAGCAAAUGGUCUCUCUGCAGCUGGAACAACAAAAACUCAAAUGGUCCACACAGUGGUUCAUACCUAUAAGUCACCAAACCUAAACUAAGUUGUUAUCUGACCUUCUGGAAAUGAGAAGAGAUAGAUAACUGCCAGUUUCCCAAACAGGCCAGUUUAAAUCUUCCUGUAAGCAUGAUAAGGAAGUUCCCUCUGAUUUAAUCCUUACACACGAAAAAGUAGCCUUAAAUAACCUGAUAUUAACUCAUCAGUUUUAUUUUUAUUUAUUUAUUUUUUUUUGAGACAAUGUCUUGCUCUGUCACCCAGGCUGGAGUGCAGUGGCACAAUCUCGGCUCACUGCAAUCUCCGCCUCCCGGGUUCACGCCAUUCUCCUGCCUCAGCCUCCCGAGUAGCUGGGACUACAGGUGCCUGCCACCACACCCGGCUAAUUUUUGUAUUCUUAGUAGAGAUGGGGUUUCACCGUGUUAGCCAGGAUGGUCUCGAUCUCCUGACCUUGUGAUCCACCCCCCUCGGCCUCCCAAAGUGCUGGGAUUACAGGUGUGAGCCACCGCGCCUGGCCACUCAUCAGUUAUUUUUCUAUCAUUUUGUCUUUCUGUCCCCACUUUACAAGAAAAGUGACUUUGAAAGGACUAAUAACAUUAUUCGUUUUUUGCUUCUGCUUUCUUCAGCCCUUCUCUGUCUGUAAAGCCAGCUUCUUUUGCACAGCUCACUGCAACACUUAUUUUUAUUUGUAUUUUUAUUUUUUGAGACAAUGUCUCACUCUGUCACCCGGGCUGGAGAGUGGAGAGUACUAAUGCAGUCUUGGCCCACUGCACCUUCACCCUCCUCAACUCAAGCAAUCUUCCUGCCUCAACUUCCCUGGCAGCCAGGACUACAGGCUUGCACCACUAUACCCAGCUAAUUUUUAAAAUUUUUUUUUUUGUAGAGACAGGGUCUUGCUAUGUGGGCCAGACUGGUCUCAAACUCCUGGCCUCAAGGGAUCCUUCUUCCUUGGCCUGCCAAAGUGCUGGGAUAGAAUAAGUGUGCCGGGGCCACCAUGCCCAGGCCACCACACCUGGCCCACUUAUUCUAUUUUAUGGAAUGAAGUGUUACCCAAUUCUGGCUUUUUUUGAGACAGGGUCGUGCACCGUUGCUCAGGCGGGAAUGCAGUGGCACGAUCUUGGAACACUCCAACCUCCACCUCCAAGGCUCAAGCCAUCUUCCCACCUCAGCCUCCCGAGUAGCUGGGGCCACAGGCGUGUGCCACCACAUCCAGCUAAUUUUUGUAUUUUUUGUAGAGAUGGGGUUUUGCCAUGUUGCCCAGGCUGGUUUGGUCUCAAACUCCUGGUCUCAAGCCAUCCACCCACCUUGGUCUCCCAAAGUGCUGGGAUUACAGAUGUGAACCAACAUGUCCAGCCUUUUUUUUUUUUUGAGACAAAUUCUGGCUCUGUCACCCAGACUGGAGUGCAGUGGUGCCAUCUUGGCUCACUGCAACCUCCACCUCCGAGGCUCAAGCAAUUCUCUCACCCCAGCCUCCUGAGUAGCUAGGACCACAGGUGCUCACCACCACGCCUGGUUAACUUUUGUGUUUUUUGUAGAGAUGGGGUUUUGCCAUGUUUCCUAUGCUGGUCUGGAACUCAUGAACUCAACAGAUUGUCCCACCUCAGCCUCUCAAAGUGCUGGGAUUACAGCUCAAAGCACCUGUCAUAAAAAUAUUAACUUGUAAUAAAAGUGUUUAGUAACACUAAUAUGUGAUGGCAAUUUCAGGAAAGUCAAUGUUCUGAGCAAGAAGAACAAGGAACAGAAGGUAUAAUGAUAACAGAUGAGAGAGGAAAAAGCAGACUCAAUCAACUCCUACUUUUCCAUCAUUUUUCCGUUACAGAGAAUUAUCCUCAAAUUAGAAGGAGUAGGACCUACAUGGUAAAGAAAAAAUUUACGUGCAAGGCAGAUGAGGAAGUAAGAGAGCAUCCAGCCCCUUCACACAACUUCAUUCUCUGUCUUACCGAAAGAAUGUGAAAUGUGGUGGUAGCUUUACUGGGGACAGGAGAGGUGCCAGAAGUUUGAAGAUGGACUAAUCUCCUUGUUUUCUAAAAGAAGAACCUAUAAGUCUCUGAGCACAUUUUUCUUUGGCAAAAUUCUGGAAUGGAUAAUUAGACAAAUGGUUUGUGAAUCUUUAGAAAAGUGGCAAAAACAAGGCACAGCAUAAAUUCACUAAAAAAUAAGUGGACCUAAA